AGCAGCCGCGGUAAUUCCAGCUCCAAUAGCGUAUAUUAAAGUUGUUGCAGUUAAAAAGCUCGUAGUUGAAUUUCGGGAUCAGUUGGUCGGUCGUGCCUCGGUACGUACUGGUCAAAUUGAUUCCUACCUUCUGACGAACCACGAUGUCAUUAAUUUGGUGUCGCGGGAAAUCAGGACUGUUACUUUGAAAAAAUUAGAGUGUUUAAAGCAGGCUCGCGCUUGAAUACAUUAGCAUGGAAUAAUGAAAUAGGACGUUUGAUUCUAUUUUGUUGGUUUCUAGGAUCGACGUAAUGAUUAAUAGGGAUAGUUGGGGGCAUUAGUAUUCAAUUGUCAGAGGUGAAAUUCUUGGAUUUAUUGAAGACUAACUACUGCGAAAGCAUUUGCCAAGGAUGUUUUCAUUAAUCAAGAACGAAAGUUAGGGGAUCGAAGACGAAUCAGAUACCGUCGUAGUCUUAACCAUAAACUAUAGCCGACUAGGGAUCGGAUGAUGUUAAUUUUUAAUGACUCAUUCGGCGCCUUA
rnacentral:misc_RNA from 1 species